rnacentral:rRNA from 1 species
GACGAACGCUGGCGGCGUGCCUAAUACAUGCAAGUUGAGCGAUGAAGAUUGGUGCUUGCCCCAAUUUGAAGAGCAGCGAACGGGUGAGUAACGCGUGGGGAAUCUGCCUUUGAGCGGGGGACAACAUUUGGAAACGAAUGCUAAUACCGCAUAACAACUUUAAACAUAAGUUUUAAGUUUGAAAGAUGCAAUUGCAUCACUCAAAGAUGAUCCCGCGUUGUAUUAGCUAGUUGGUGAGGUAAAGGCUCACCAAGGCGAUGAUACAUAGCCGACCUGAGAGGGUGAUCGGCCACAUUGGGACUGGGACACGGCCCAAACUCCUACGGGAGGCAGCAGUAGGGAAUCUUCGGCAAUGGACGAAAGUCUGACCGAGCAACGCCGCGUGAGUGAAGAAGGUUUUCGGAUCGUAAAACUCUGUUGGUAGAGAAGAACGUUGGUGAGAGUGGAAAGCUCAUCAAGUGACGGUAACUACCCAGAAAGGGACGGCUAACUACGUG